GUCGGGUUUCGUUCUCCUUCCACUGGAGGAAAACUGCCUGUGUUGUGUAACUAGCACUUUUGAUGCAAGAAAGUUUUUUUGCAUAUGUGUGAUGAUCAUAUUCACAUGGCACAGCUUCAGCUAUGGCAGACAGGGGCAAAAACUCAGUGCAAGUAAACCAAAGAACAUCACUUUUAAAGGGACACUAGAGUAACCAAAACAACUUUAGCUGAAUUAAGCAAUUUUGGUGUAUAGAUCAUGCCCCUGCAGGGUCAUUGCUCAAUUCACUGUCAUUUAGGAGUUAAAUCACUUUUUUUCUGUUUAUGCCGCC